CCUACGGGUGGCAGCAGUGAGGAAUAUUGGUCAAUGGACGAGAGUCUGAACCAGCCAAGUCGCGUGAAGGAUGACUGCCCUAUGGGUUGUAAACUUCUUUUAUCAAGGAAUAAAACGCGGCACGUGUGCCGUUUUGCAUGUACUUUAUGAAUAAGCAUCGGCUAACUCCGUGCCAGCAGCCGCGGUAAUACGGAGGAUCCGAGCGUUAUCCGGAUUUAUUGGGUUUAUAGGGAGCGUAGGUGGGUUGUUAAGUCAGUUGUGAAAGUUCGGGGCUCAACCGUCGAAGGGCAAUUGAUACUGGCAGUCUUGAGUACAGUUGAGGUACGCGGAAUGCGUGGUGUAGCGGUGAAAUGCUUAGAUAUCACGAAGAACCCCGAUUGCGAAGGCAGCUUACU
rnacentral:rRNA from 1 species